rnacentral:tRNA from 1 species
GCUGGAGUAGCUCAGUUGGCAGAGCACGUCCUUGGUAAGGACGGGGUCACGAGUUCAAUUCUCGUCUCAAGCU